UGCGUAGGCGGGCUAAUAAGUCAGUGGUGAAAUAUUCCGGCUCAACCGGGAGACUGCCAUUGAUACUGUUAGUCUUGAGUUCGGCUGAGGUAGGCGGAAUGUGUAAUGUAGCGGUGAAAUGCUUAGAUAUUACACAGAACACCAAUUGCGUAGGCAGCUUACUAGACCGACACUGACGCUGAGGCACGAAAGCGUGGGGAGCGGACAGGAUUAGAUACCCUGGUAGUCC
rnacentral:rRNA from 1 species